rnacentral:rRNA from 1 species
AACCUGGGAACUGCAUUCGAAACUGGCAGGCUUGAGUCUUGUAGAGGGGGGUAGAAUUCCAGGUGUAGCGGUGAAAUGCGUAGAGAUCUGGAGGAAUACCGGUGGCGAAGGCGGCCCCCUGGACAAAGACUGACGCUCAGGUGCGAAAGCGUGGGGAGCAAACAGGAUUAGAUACCCUGGUAGUCCACGCCGUAAACGAUGUCUACUUGGAGGUUGUGCCCUUGAGGCGUGGCUUCCGGAGCUAACGCGUUAAGUAGACCGCCUGGGGAGUACGGCCGCAAGGUUAAAACUCAAAUGAAUUGACGGGGGCCCGCACAAGCGGUGGAGCAUGUGGUUUAAUUCGAUGCAACGCGAAGAACCUUACCU